rnacentral:snRNA from 1 species
AUUGGAAGUAUCUCAAUGAGAUA